UGGGGAAUAUUGCACAAUGGGCGCAAGCCUGAUGCAGCCAUGCCGCGUGUAUGAAGAAGGCCUUCGGGUUGUAAAGUACUUUCAGUCGGGAGGAAGGUGGUAAGGUUAAUAACCUUAUCAAUUGACGUUACCGACAGAAGAAGCACCGGCUAACUCCGAGCCAGCAGCCGCGGUAAUACGGAGGGUGCAAGCGUUAAUCGGAAUUACUGGGCGUAAAGCGCACGCAGGCGGUUGAUUGAGUCAGAUGUGAAAUCCCCGGGCUUAACCCGGGAAUUGCAUCUGAUACUGGUCAGCUAGAGUCUUGUAGAGGGGGGUAGAAUUCCAUGUGUAGCGAUGAAAUGCGUAGAGAUGUGGAGGAAUACCGGUGGCGAAGGCGGCCCCCUGGACAAAGACUGACGCUCAGGUGCGAAAGCGUGGGGAGCAAACAGG
rnacentral:rRNA from 1 species